ACUACAUGAUUAGUCCGCGCGUCGACUCGACGCCUUGCUGCGUCUUCCAAUAUUCUCGGCGAAUAUGAGCGUUGAGAGUUUACUAAAUAGCCAUGUGAGGCGCACGUGGUCAAACUUUACAUCCCUCGGGUCCAAUAUUAGGGGAAAACUGUCGCCAUUCAACCCUAACCACUGCGCGGUGUCUCUCUUUCUUACUUCCCUGCUUCCAGAUCUACAAUGAACAAAAGCAUUUCUCUACUUUAAGAUCGACAUGAACACAUAGUCCUCCGUCAAAAUUUCUUACUCAAGUUUUAGAUAUGACUAACACAAGAUUACAAGUCAUCAAACCGAGGAGAGAGAAUUUCAGCAUAUCACGGAAAGAGGAGUCGUAUAAUGUUCUUCCUUUACGACUCACAUGAAACGAAUUUUCCAUUGAGAUGAGAGAGGAACGAGGAGCCAAAGGAUCACUUUGUUGAUUGAUAACAUGUCCCUUGAGAAGGUAUCCCUUUCAGUGGCGGUGCCAGAAAAUUCGUACUACGGGUUCGAAAUUCAAACUCAAGCUAUGUUUUUAAUACGAAAUAUUAAACAGUACUUUUGAUACCAUACAUAAGAUACAUUAAAAUUUUAGCAACACGAUUUAUAGUCUAAAAUUUAAUUAGGACGCAAAAAAAUGGGAAGAAAAGAUGCUAAAGUUAGCAAAUUUUCAUAUUUUAAAAGUAACUUUAUAUAGGAAUUAGUUUAAAAAAUAUAUUGUUUUAGAAAAACAAAUAAAAAAAUAAGGAGGAAAGGGAUUUGAUCCCCUGACCUUUGUUAUGAUUAGAAAAGCAAAAACCACUGCAGCAACUCUUUUGUUUUGUCAUAUUCCGCGUUUACUAAUACUUGUCCGUGUUUUGUUUUGUAAAACCUGCCAGAUUUUUAGUUUAGCUAGUAAGGGUUCAGUUGAACCCACUGAACCCUUACUAGCACCGCCCCUGAUCCCUUUCUAUAUUCACCCUACCGGGCUAUUGCAAAUCAAUUUUAUGUCUAUCAGUUAUUAUCUUUAAUGCCACCUUAAAGUGGCAACGA